rnacentral:rRNA from 1 species
AAUGAACGUUGGCGGCGUGGAUUAGGCAUGCAAGUCGUGCGGAAAGGCCCCGCAAGGGGUACUCGAGCGGCGAAAGGGAUAGUAACACGUGGGUAACCUACCUCUAGGCCUGGGAUAGCUGCGGGAAACUGCAGGUAAUACCAGAUAACGUCCCCGGACCAAAGGUGUGAUUCCGUCUGGAGAGGGGCCCGCGUCCUAUUAGCUAGUUGGUGAGGUAACGGCUCACCAAGGCAAAGAUGGGUAGCGGGUGUGAGAGCAUGACCCGCAUCAUUGGGACUGAGACACUGCCCAGACACCUACGGGUGGCUGCAGUCGAGGAUCUUCGGCAAUGGGCGCAAGCCUGACCGAGCGACGCCGCGUGUGGGAUGAAGGCCUUCGGGUUGUAAACCACUGUCAGUGGGGAGGAAGUUCCGGAGAGUUCUCUCUUCGGUUUGACCUAUCCGCAGAGGAAGUACGGGCUAAGUUCGUGCCAGCAGCCGCAGUAACAC